AGAGAGAGAGAGAGAGAGAGACCCUUUAACACGAGAUAACAAAGAUCAAUGAUUAGGGGACAGUGUAGCUUGUCCAAGAAGAUGAAGCUGAGCUUUGAGUUCAGUCUGCUGGGAUCUAGAGCCCCUUUCUUUUCACUACACUAAGGCAGACCAAAUGAGUAGAGGGAAGAAAAAGAAGAUUUGAACUGAUCUAAAAUACAGGUGGAGGGUCUGUCGCCUGCCAAAUGAAGGGUCUGGGCAGAGAAAACGACAUCGGCUCGUGGGGCUGGACAGCUUCGGAGAGAACUUGUUCUACUGAAGGAGAUCUGCCUCAGAUUCGUGUCUCACCGAGUAAUUCAACCUCCCUGGAUGAAGUUCAAGCCAGGAUGGCUGAGAGUUCAAGACCAGCCUAGGGGUUUGCUGUCCUAAGUAACAAUAAACUCCAACCCCCAAAUGCUGCCUGAUAGAUCUGUAGCUUCAGCCUGGAUGCUACCCUCACAGAGCUCAGUAACUGAAAGAGCGCGCAGCUGGGGGCGUGCCCAUCUCAGUCUGAUUCCAGAGUCUCCUUUCCUCUGUUAACCCGACCUGUGAGCUGUGGCUCCGUUCUCUGUCUUCCCUUUGCCCUUUAGUGGGCCUCUCAGUUCUAUCCUCUACAUCCAGGGCCUUCUCAUCUUUCACCUUGAACAGGUACCCAUGACCCCUUAAGAGGAUUUCUUGAACCUCUUAAGAGGAUUUCUGUCCAGGUGACUCUCCGUUCUAAUCCAUUCCUAAUCUUCUCACAGAGAAAGUGGGUUGUGCCGACUUCCUGCUUAGCCCUUCUGCUAACCCCCCCUCACAAACUGAAAUCACCCUCCUUGUGUGGGCGGGGUGAUGGGCGUUUCCUGUGUGGCUCCUUGUUCUCCUGCACCGACUUUUCCUGUGCUGGUUAAAUGAGUGCAGUGUCCUUUCACAUCUUAAUGAAAGCUCUCAGCUCUUUGCCAGUGUAGUGGUUUGAAUGAGAAUAGCCCCUACAGGCUCUUAUGAUUGAAUAGCUAGGUCCCUAGUUGGUGGAACUCUUUGUGAAGGAUUAGGAGGCGUGGUUUUGUGGGAGGAGGUGUGCCAUGCCAUCUCAUGGUUGUGUCUCAAGAGGUGAGCUCUCAGCUACUGCUCCCUGCUGCAGUGCAAUGCUCAUGAACUCUAACCCCCUGAAGCUGUGAGCCCCAAAUUCAGUGCAUUCUUUUAAUAAGCUGCCUUGGGCUAAGCUGUAUUUUUGAUGCCCUUCAUCAGGUAAAGGAGGUCUUCUCUGUAGCUGCUAAGAACGUGUCAUUGCCCCGAACGUUGUAUUUUAGCAGAUGUUUCUCCGUCUACUCAAUCUCUGAUUCACUUUUCUACUGUUGAUCAAUUUUCUUUUCCUGGAUAAAUCCCCCCAGGUUUUCCUUUUGAACCCAAACCAGUAUUAUCCUUUUGAAAAUACACUUCUGGUUUUGGUUCGUGAGUAUUGUGUUUAGAACACAGCCCUGCCGCCUGUGCACUGGCUUGGGGGAAGCAUUCCUUUUUGGAGAGGUGACCAAAAGCAAUGUGAUGGGAAGAAACAGCGUUUGAUUUCUGCUUCUGCCUGGGUUUGGGGGAUCGUCUGCAUGACCACAAUCUGGGGAGGACACGGUGUCCGCAGCUGUGUGAGACUAGCAGAGGAAAUGUAUGUCCUUACUGAGGUGGCCACA